rnacentral:rRNA from 1 species
AUUGAACGCUGGCGGCAGGCCUAACACAUGCAAGUCGAACGAAGCCUUCGGGCUUAGUGGCGGACGGGUGAGUAACACGUGGGAACGUACCUUUUGGUUCGGAAUAACGCAGAGAAAUUUGCGCUAAUACCGAAUGAGCCCUUCGGGGGAAAGAUUUAUCGCCGAAAGAUCGGCCCGCGUUGGAUUAGGUAGUUGGUGUGGUAAAGGCGCACCAAGCCUACGAUCCAUAGCUGGUCUGAGAGGAUGAUCAGCCACACUGGGACUGAGACACGGCCCAGACUCCUACGGGAGGCAGCAGUGGGGAAUCUUGCGCAAUGGGCGAAAGCCUGACGCAGCCAUGCCGCGUGAAUGAUGAAGGUCUUAGGAUUGUAAAAUUCUUUUACCAGGGACGAUAAUGACGGUACCUGGAGAAAAAGCCCCGGCUAACUUCGUGCCAGCAGCCGCGGUAA